AGGCCCGUAGCUCAAUGGUGGAGCAUCAAGCUUAUAUCUUGAGGGUUGCAGGUUCGAUCCCUGCCGGGCCUACAA
rnacentral:tRNA from 2 species